rnacentral:rRNA from 1 species
GAGUUUGAUUNUGGCUCAGAUUGAACGCUGGCGGCAUGCUUUACACAUGCAAGUCGGACGGCAGCACAAAGAAGCUUGCUUCUUGGGUGGCGAGUGGCGAACGGGUGAGUAAUGCAUCGGAACGUACCGAGUAGUGGGGGAUAACUGUCCGAAAGGAUGGCUAAUACCGCAUACGCUUUGAGAAGGAAAGCGGGGGAUCUUCGGACCUCGCGCUAUUCGAGCGGCCGAUGUCUGAUUAGCUGGUUGGUGGGGUAAAGGCCUACCAAGGCGACGAUCAGUAGCGGGUCUGAGAGGAUGAUCCGCCACACUGGGACUGAGACACGGCCCAGACUCCUACGGGAGGCAGCAGUGGGGAAUUUUGGACAAUGGGCGCAAGCCUGAUCCAGCCAUGCCGCGUGUCUGAAGAAGGCCUUCGGGUUGUAAAGGACUUUUGUCAGGGAAGAA